rnacentral:rRNA from 1 species
UACGUAGGCAGCAAGCGUUGUUCGGAGUUACUGGGCGUAAAGGGUGCGUAGGUGGCUCUAUAAGUAUGGUGUGAAAUCUCCCGGCUCAACUGGGAGGGUGCGCCGAAUACUGAAUGACUAGAGUGCGGGAGAGGUGAGUGGAAUUCCUGGUGUAGCGGUGAAAUGCGUAGAUAUCAGGAGGAACACCUGUGGUGUAGACAGCUUACUGGACCACUUCUGACGCUGAGACACGAAAGCGUGGGUAGCAAACAGG